rnacentral:rRNA from 1 species
GUACAGUGAUGGAAAGAUGAAAAGAACUUUGAAAAGAGAGUGAAAAAGUACGUGACAUUGUUGAAAGGGAAGGGUAUGAGAUCAGACUUGGUGUUUUGCAACCUUACUCUCGGGUGGGGCCCCUGCAGUUCAUCGGGCCAGCAUCAGUUUGGAUGGUAGGAUAAUGGCAUUGGAAUGUAGCUUGGCUUCGGUUAAGUGUUAUAGCCUUUGUUGAUACUGCCUGUCUAGACUGAGGACUGCGUCUUUGACUAGGAUGCUGGCAUAAUGAUCCUAUACCGCCCGUCUUGAAACACGGACCAAGGAGUCUAACGUCUAUGCAAGUGUUUGGGUGUAAAACCCGUACGCGUAAUGAAAGUGAACGUAGGUCUGAGCUCUCUGAGUGCAAGAUCGACCGAUCCUGAUGUCUUCGGAUGGAUUUGAGUAAGAGCAUAGCUGUUGGG